rnacentral:rRNA from 1 species
CACGGGGUUGCGAGCGUUGUCCGGAAUUACUAGGCGUAAAGGGCAGGCAGGCGGAUCCAUAAGUCUAUCGUUUAAGGCGUCGGCUUAACCGGCGUAGGGCGGUAGAUACUGUGGAUCUGGAAUGCGGUUGGGGAAGACAGAAUUCCUGGUGUAGCGGUGGAAUGCGCAGAGAUCAGGAGGAAUACCGAAGGCGAAGGCAGUCUUCCAAGCCGUUAUUGACGCUCAACUGCGAAGGUGUGGGUAUCAAACAGGAUUAGAUACCCUGGUAGUCCCU